AAAUUGAAGAGUUUGAUCAUGGCUCAGAUUGAACGCUGGCGGCAGGCCUAACACAUGCAAGUCGAACGGUAACAGGAAUCAGCUUGCUGAUUCGCUGACGAGUGGCGGACGGGUGAGUAAUGUCUGGGAAACUGCCUGAUGGAGGGGGAUAACUACUGGAAACGGUAGCUAAUACCGCA
rnacentral:rRNA from 1 species